ensembl:lncRNA
CGGCUGACCUACCAGGUGUACAAGUGUGUGGCCGUGCUGGAACACCUGCAGCACACGCAGACCCAGGACCUUCGGGUUUUCCUUAAGUCUGCAGCUCGAUGCGGUGGAAGACAGAGUGUAAAAAAGCAUUGCCGGUGACUCAAAUGCUACAUGAAUCAAAUGGAGGAGCUACAGAGUGAGUCAUUACCUGGAGUACAUGGAGGGUCUGGAGCACAGUUACAGAACAAUGGUACUGACAGACAUGAAAAAUAUCUCUUAGAGAAUCAGCUAGCAGUGCUGACACACCACAGCCAUCACUCCCCAGGCUGCACUGGGACUGGGACUGGUAAUAACAAGGUAAAGGCUUCUCGUGACAGGAUUAACCAGUGUGUGUACCUGGGGAGUCUCAUACUACCUGUUGUUUGGAUUGAGGAAAGGUUUGAUACUGUGUAUGCUCUCUGUAAAUGUUGUUUAUACCUCUAAGAUCUGUCAGUAUAGUUCUACAUAUUUAAAGAUGUACAGUGGUAGGGAUGUAUGAAAUAUUAAAUAGCAGAUAUGAAUAAUGUUAUGAAAUAUACUGAACAAAAAUAUGAACACAACAUACAAUAAUUUCAAAGAUUUACAUUUCAUGUAAGGUAAUCCGGCAAUUGAAAUAAAUAAAUUAGGCCCUAAUCUAUGGAUUUCACGACUGAGAAUGACUGUUGGUCACAGAUACCUUUAAAAAAAGUUAGGGGUGUGGAUCAGAAAACCAGUCAGUAUCUGGUGUGACAAUCAUUUGCCUCAUGCAGCGUGACACAUCUUCUUCGCAUAGAGUUGAUCAGAUUUUUGACUGUGGCCUGUGGAAUGUUGUCCCACUCCUCUUCAAUGGCUGUGCGAAGUUGCUGUAUAUUGGUGGGAACUGGAACACGCUGUCAUAUACGUCGAUCCAGAGCAUCCCAAACAGGCUCAAUGGGUGACAUGUCUGGUAAGUAUGCAGGCCUUGGAAGAACUGGGACAUUUUUAAGAUUCCAGGAAUGGGUGUACAGAUCCUUGCGACAUGGGGCUGUGCAUUAUCAUGCUGAAACAUUAGGUGACAGUUGAAUGGCACGGCAAUUGGCCUCAGGAUCUCAUCACCGUAUCCCUGUGCAUUCAAAUUGCCAUCGAUAAGAUGUAAUUGUGUUCUUUGUCCGUAGCUUAUGCCUACCCAUACCAUAACCCAACCGCCACCAUGGGGCACUCUGUUUACAACGUUGACAUCAGUAAACCGCUCGCCACAGGACACCAUACACAUAGCCUGCAGUUGGGAGGCCGGUUGGACAUACUGCCAAAUCUUUAAAACAACAUUGGAGUUGGCUUAUGGUAGAGAAAUUAACAUUCAAAUUUCUGGCACCAGCUCUGAUGGACAUUCCUGCAGUCAGCAUGCCAAUUCCACAACCCCUCAAAGCAUGAGACAUAUGUGGCAUUGUGUUGUGUGACAAAACUGCACAUUUGAUCAGUGUCCUUUUAUUGUCCCCAGCACAAGGUGCACCUGUGUAAUGAUCAUGCUGUUUAAUCAGCUUCUUGAUAUGCCACACGUCAGGUGGAUGCACUUUUUUGGCAAAGGAGAAAUGUUCACUAAGAGAUGUAAACACAAUUUGAGAGAAAUAAGCUUUUUGUGUGUACAGUAUGUAACAAUUCUGGGAUCUUUUAUUUCAGCUCAUAAAACAUGGGUCCAACACUUUACAUGUAGCGUUUAUAUUUUUGUUCAGUGUAUAUAAUAAUGAACUUGAUGUACUGUCUUUUACAUCUUCAUGGACCUUCUGUAGGGUUAUGAGGAUGCAUUAUAGUUAUACAACUCUAAGGGCAUAUAAUAUUUACUUGUAAACCUACUGACCUCUCCUAUCCGAUACGACCACUACUAAUACCUACACUAGACAAUAUGAUGAUUGUUUGGUAAUGCCCUUUUAAUUACAAUUCUACUCAGCAAUGCAUUACACAUCCUCUUCUUGAGAUCAAUGCUAAGCUCCAAAUCGUUAUGGGCAGUAUAGGGUCUGUGUAUGUGCCACCAGUGUAGCUUACCAAGUAGCUCUAUCUUGCAGGACCACUCUCCUCAUAGAGAGGGUUGAUGAUGACCGUGGAGAGGCGGCUUUGUUGUUGUGAAAAACCUUCAUUAAUAAACAUCCCCUCUCUCUCCUUCAGCUGAACCAUCUGAUAUGAAAACCUCUGAAUAAUUAAUGAGAUCAUUAAAGCCUUUGGUUUCUCCAACACAACAGCUGUUAAAUAUGAUAUACUGUUUACCAUCUACAUAGGGUAGAGGUGGAUAGAAGUGAUAGAAAUCAGUGCCACCAAAUGUUUACCUGGUAAGCACUUCGAGCAAGG